UGGUUCUGGCAUCGAUGAAGAACGCAGCGAAAUGCGAUAAGUAAUGUGAAUUGCAGAAUUCAGCGAAUCAUCGAAUCUUUGAACGCACAUUGCGCCUCCGGGUAUUCCCGGAGGCAUGCCUGUUCGAGCGUCGUUUAGACCAUGAGGCUUCGCCUUGCGAUGGCAUCUGGUGCCCGAAGGGGUUCCAUUUGCCCAAACACAUCGGCAUGCCGAAGUUGGCCCAGCACAGUACAAUGCGCCAGAGGACGACGGACGUAUGCCUGUACCACGGCGGUCUUCGACUUGGUCGUGGACCGCUCCAAGGGUCGACCUCGGAUCAGGCAAGAUUACCCGCUGA
rnacentral:misc_RNA from 1 species